UACAGAGGUCUCGAGCGUUGUUCGGAUUCAUUGGGCGUAAAGGGUGCGUAGGUGGCGUGGUAAGUCGGGUGUGAAAUUCGAGAGCUUAACUCGAACUGCAUUCGAUACUGCGUGCUUGAGGACUGGAGAGGAGACUGGAAUUUACGGUGUAGCAGUGAAAUGCGUAGAGAUCGUAAGGAAGACCAGUGGCGAAGGCGGGUCUCUGGACAGUUCCUGACACUGGGGCACGAAGGCCAGGGGAGCAAACGGG
rnacentral:rRNA from 1 species